rnacentral:lncRNA from 1 species
AACACCGUGAGGAGCUUCCACCACGAAGGUCAGUCUCUUCCCCCAGUCUGCGUGGGGGAGGGCUGGUGGGACUGGCUAGAGGGGCAGUGAAAGCCCUGGGGAAGAAGAGUUCGGGUUACAUCAAAGCCCCAGUCCAGGAGGCUGAGGAACAGAGCUGCUUACCUCCAAGAAUUUGCAGAGCUGCCGCCGAACUUAUUUUUUGGAGACAGAGGGGGAGGUGUUCAGGGGAAGGGGAAUGACAGCACUCAGACGUGGGCUAGCCCCAGCGGUGUGUUUUUGCUAUAUCAAAGCCUUUUCUGCUAGGUUUUCUGCCCGUUUUUUUCAAAGCACCUACUGAAUUUAAUAUUACAGCUGUGUGUUUGUCGGGUUUAUUCAAUAGGGGCCUUGUAAUCCGAUCUGAAUGUUUCCUAGCGGAUGUUUCUUUUCCAAAGUAAAUCUGAGUUAUUAAUCCACCAGCA